UAAUGACAGUAUCUAAUGGUCACCGUGAACUGUGAAGCUGGCAUGCUUAUUUCAGGGUGCUAGGAAUUUAGAGUCCGAAUGCUGUCCUAUUGUAUAUGUUGGCUUCCUACUAAAGCCGCAUGGAAUUCUUUCUGAAACCAGGCCUGAACUUAGUAAUGACCCCCCCACACACACAUCCCAUCUGAGAACUUCUUGCUCUUCCUUACAAAGGACUGGAACUACUCCAGAGGGUAGCCGCAGAGCGGGACAUACCUACAGAAGCAACAGAAAGAGAGACUACUCUACCACUGCUGGCCAAAACUAUGUCGCCUUUCUCUGACAGGUCACAGCAACUGUCUGUAGAUGCCAUUUGGUAACUAACCUUGCAUUACUCUCUCGUGUCAUGUUGUAUCGUUUUCUUCAAGUAUUCAAGCGUUAUCGAUAUAUUUUUGGACUAUCAUCUUUUCAGCUGCUCUUUUCUUCAAGUAUUUACGACUCUCACUGCUAAUUAUUCAACAGUUGUAAAACAGUAACAUGCAAGUUAAUUGAU